AAAAUGGCGUUGAAGGGGAUCAUUAAGUCGGACAGCCCGUUACAGAGAGAGGAACACUGGUGGAAGUUCCUUACGAAAGCGUGACCCAACCUGCCCUGGAGCUCUGUAUGAUAAAUGCAGCGUAUUUCCUGCGUUAGAGGAUAAACAAGAGGGUUUCUGCAGAGGUAAAAUGUCAUUUGCCUCAACAUUUUUGCAGGAACUAAGAAGGGUGGUACCGCCGAGUCAUUCGGUCCCUUGC
rnacentral:ncRNA from 1 species